GGUCUUAUAUUCAUUAAUGAUUUAUAUUUGCAAAAUAUAAGGUGUAUAUUAUACUAAGGCUU
rnacentral:tRNA from 2 species